UACAAUACAAAGAAAUAACAAAUCAUGAACUGGGAUCAAAGUAGACAUGCGUGCAAAGGGGAAGGAUCAGCAGCAUAAAUAUUCCCUUCAAAGCACAAAGGACGGGUCCCAUCCCUUCCAAACGACACUAUUUUGUUUGCUAUUUAAAAAACUAAAGGGCCAAACAAGACAGAAAAGAAAAAAAAUUGAACGGUAGUCUGCCAUUUUUGAAAGAAACCAUAGCCCUUUUAUUUUUCUUUGCUGGGAUUUGAUGACCAAGAAUCAAGCUACUGCAGGACCACCACCAUUGCCGGUCACGGCAUACAGUAACCGAAGUUUAAAAUGAUAAGUUCUUUUUAUCUUUUUUAUCCUCUUUAAUAGAUGAACGAACAACAAAAUGGUUAGUUUCGAAAACACAAAGGAAAAAUAAAUGAAAAAAAGAAGAAACAAAUAACAACCUUGGUGGUUUUCGGUUUGCCAGAUCUGUUUUGCUCUCAAUCGAUGGUGUAGGCUUUCUGUUUGUCUGAUCGGUGGUUAUUUCCCUAUAUUCGAAUGCUUGUAUUUUGGUGAAGGCAAAACGUGGGAAUGGAGGCAUGGAGGCAGAGAACAUGGGUAGUGAAAGCAUGGAGGCAGUUGGAGGCUAGGGUUUUGGCUGAAAAUAUUUUGGGGUUUGUGGGCUAGGGUUAAGUAUUUAGGCUUCAAAAUUGGGUCUGUUUUUAUUUUUUGUUUUUUUAUUGUUGAAUUCUAUUUUGGACUUAGUUUUGUGCUUUAUGUAAUUUGGGCCAGGCAAAAAAUGGGUUUUACAGCCAUAAAGAAAUUCACUAGCCUCGGGAGAUCUUUGUUAAUGGUCCUUGGUUGAGAAUAUGGAAUAGCUCCCUUCUGUCGAAAGUCAAGGAUUUUCUUUGGCGUGGCUUGAAAGUAUUUAUUCCUUGUAUAUAUUGUGCUCUUGUGUCUUCGGUGUGGUCAAAUUGAGUCUCUCAACCAUGUUUUAUUUGAAUGCCCACUUGCAGUCCAAGUUUGGCAGCGAGGUAAUAUUGAUUUAUCCAGUGUUAAUGA